UGUGUGACAGGAAGGAGUGGAGCCUGGCUGCACCUCUCUUAGACCUCAUUGAAGGGCUGAGCCCCACUGGGGAAGGAACUCUGGUUGGAGAUGCUUCUUUGGUGAAGCUUUCCCCUGUGAACCUGGAAUCUUCUGCUAUGGAGCUCAGACAAAGCAAUUGUCUUCCAUGCAAAGAUGCAAAGUCCCUCAUGGUGCUGUCACGUCCCCUCUCCUUGUGCUGCAGGGUAGGAAGCUGCAGGGAAGUGUGGCUGCACUGAUCCAUCGAUAUAGCAUCUAGAUUUAACCUCCAUUGAAGCAGCUGUGAUGGCUCUGCAGAUUACUUCAUCAGCAUCAGAAAUUGGGGCUUCAGUGAGUGUGACCUCAUUGCCUCAGAGAGCUGUGAGCCCCUCUGCUGCCUGCUGGAUGGUUGUGCAGCCCCAGAGGCCACGCUGAGCUUGGAAGGAGGAGGUGCAAGACAACACACACAAGUUCUGAGCUCUGCAGGAGAUUGGAGAACAGAAGCAGACUGUCCCCAGCUAUGCAAAAAACAUCCAGUUUGGGAUCAGUCUCCACCUUGAGAGAAGACAGGAAAAAGCACAGCCUUUACCCUGCAGAGAGCAGCAUGUACUGUGUUGCAGAGUGCUCUUUGUUUUGAUAAAAGCCUAUGGAAACACUGGAAUAAAACCAUUAGGAGGCUGUGAUUGCUUCCUGUCUUGCUGUCUGUUGCAGGUGUAAUGAAAGAAGAGCGGUCCUUUGGGCAUCUUUUGGCUCUGGGGGUACUGUGCAGGCUGUGAUACCCGUUAACUUGAUUUAAAAAAAAAAGAAAGAGUAUGGAGCAAAUCUUGAGCUGUUCAGGUGCCAAUGAUGGCAUGCACUUACUCAGAUCUGCUCCGUGUGGUUUUUCAGAGAAGUGCCUGAGCAGCUCUUGCUCACAACUGUAUGAGCAACAUGACUGCUGCACGCUCAGUGCAGGCGGAAGAGGACUUCUGCUUCACAAUAGCUAAACAAGUCGAGGUCUUAAGAAAAAGUUAUUUCUUAGCUCUGAGCAGCCUUGCAGGUAGUGCAGCCAGCACUGAGGAAAGCAGUAGAAUUGCACUGGCAAAAAAUUCAUACUUGGAAUUUGAGACAGUAUCAGUGAGAACUUCAUUUGAGGGUGAAGAGAACAGGCAUGUGCCAGAGAACAAAGUCAUUCUGACUGUCAGCUGCUUCCUUGAGAAGAGCCAAACCUUGAAAUCCCACUGAUAUUAUUUACACAUUAGUUGCAUUGAACUUCGUGUGGUCCUAAAGUAGCUUAAAGCAGCCUUAAAGUCAGUCAUAAGCUUUUUUUUGUGGCACAUCAGUGUUUUUCUGGCUACUGCUGUCCCAGUUUUUUGCAAGAAAAGCGACUUUUAUGUGCAUUCAGGAAACUGUGUGUGUGCAGUGACUGUGUGCUGCAGAUCAGACCAGGCUCACUUCUUCUGCACAGGCUGUGCAGAGGGAGGAGAGCUCAGGAGCCCUGGGCAGACACAUUGACCCAGCAUUCUUCAGACAGGAAUGUUUAUUAAACUUACGCUCAUCUAAGCUAGGAACAUUGCUGCAAACUCUUGUGUUGUGUUCCAUCUGAGUAAAAAUACACCGUAAGCACGAGCAAAAAUCCACAUGUAUUAUUUAGAGCUGAUUUCAGUCUUCAUACAAAAUAUUUCUGUAAAAAGCAAAAAUUGGAUUGGGAAUUCUUUAUAAACUGGAGCUUUGCAAUGCAGCGUGUGUGGAAAGAAUUGCAGAUUUUGGCGUUUCAGAGAAUCAAUAAGGCACGCUGUAGGCACUCAGUGCCGUGAGUGUUUCCAUCCUUUGUGCAUACUGGUAAGUCUGGGAACAGAUCAAUGAGUUUACACCAGUGUUCAUCAAUACCACUGCAUCUUUCUGAAGUAAUUGAGCAAUUCAUAGAAUGAAAUAUGCCAUCUGAGGGUGCUAACGUUCAUUUCUGUAAGAGGAACAUUUAACUGGUAUCGAGGUGUUCUGUGGAGACCAGACUGUCAUCUCU